UACGUAGGGGGCAAGCGUUGUCCGGAUUUAUUGGGCGUAAAGCGCGUGUAGGCGGCCAGGUAGGUCCGUUGUGAAAACUCGAGGCUCAACCUCGAGACGUCGACGGAAACCAUCUGGCUAGAGUCCGGAAGAGGAGAGUGGAAUCCUGGUGUAGCGGUGAAAUGCGCAGAUAUCAGGAGGAACACCGGUGGCGAAGGCGGAUCUCUGGGCCGUAACUGACGCUGGGAGAAGCUGGG
rnacentral:rRNA from 1 species